UGGUCAAUGGAGGCAACUCUGAAUCAGCCAUGCCGCGUGCAGGAUGACGGACCUAUGGAUUGUAAACUGCUUUUGUACAGGAAGAAAAAGAGUUACGUGUAGCUUAUUGACGGUACUGUAAGAAUAAGGAUCGGCUAACUCCGUGCCAGCAGCCGCGGUAAUACGGAGGAACCAAGCGUUAUCCGGAAUCAUUGGGUUUAAAGGGUCCGUAGGGGGCGUGAUAAGUCAACGGAGAAAGUUUUUGGCUUAACCAAAAAAUUGCCGUUUAUACUGUAGGGCUUGAAUUUUUGUGAGGUAACUGGAGUAUGUAGUGUGGCGGAGAAAUGCUUAGAUAUUACAUGGAAUACAAAUUGCGAAGGCAGGUUACUAACAAACGAUUGACGCGGAUGGACGAAAGCGUGGGUAGCGAACAG
rnacentral:rRNA from 1 species